UAUUGGAUGCAUGCAUGGCCCUCUUUGCUAUCUUCCACAGCUUUCUUGAACUGCAUCUGCAAUGGAUGCUACUUAGCUUAUGCUUAACUGCAAGAGUGCUGUUCAAUAAAGCUGUGGGAAAUUGCAGAGAGAGACCAAUUGGGCAGCUUAAU